CGGGGGUAGAGAUCGUCCUAUAUCACUACCAAUCUUACUUGCACAUUGUGUUACAGCUAAUUAUGUGGUGCCGUACGAAUUUACACACAAAUGUGCUCAUUCCAUUCUCAUGGCUGGAUUUCAGAGCACGCUAAGAAAAUACGAAGGGGAUCAUAAUUGGGACGAGGUAAAGCAAUGGCUCAAACGUUACCUUCGGCUCUGAGGAUUAACACUAAACUCUAAAUUAAAAGAAAAAGGA